rnacentral:rRNA from 1 species
UGAGGAAUAUUGGUCAAUGGGGGCAACCCUGAACCAGCCAAGUCGCGUGAAGGAUGAAGGUCUUAUGGAUUGUAAACUUCUUUUACACGGGAAUAAAGUGGGGGACGUGUCCCCCUUUGCAUGUACCGUGUGAAUAAGGAUCGGCUAACUCCGUGCCAGCAGCCGCGGUAAUACGGAGGAUCCGAGCGUUCUCCGGAUUUAUUGGGUUUAAAGGGUGCGCAGGCGGGAUGUUAAGUCGGCGGUGAAAUUUUGCAGCUCAACUGUAAAAGUGCCUUCGAUACUGGCCUCCUUGAGUGUGGAUGAAGUAGGCGGAAUUUGUGGUGUAGCGGUGAAAUGCUUAGAUAUCACGAGGAACUCCGAUUGCGCAGGCAGCUUACUAAGCCACAACUGACGCUCAUGCACGAAGGCGUGGGGAUCAAACA